UUAGGGGUACGGCCUGCAUCCAAUAUGUAUGGAUGUUCUAGCAAAGUUCCCUCUCUCUCAAUCUUGCAUUUGAUCCUGCAUUCACCUCGUCAUCCCCUAACCUCCAGUUCUUGGCAUGUGAGCCAGCAGCCUGCCACCUGACUUGCAGAUUUUGAAUUUGCCAGCUCCUGCAACCCUGUGAGCCAGCAGCCUGCUGCACGACUUGCAGAUUUUGGGUUCAUCAGUCCCUGCAACCACGUGAGUUGGGAGAAGCCUCCACCCUGCCACUGACCCAAGGAUUUGUGACUUGCCAGCCUUUACAAUUGCAUGAGCCAUUUCCUUGAAAUAAAUCUAUAUAUGUUUCUGGAGCCCUGAUGGCACAGUGGUUAAGAGUUUGGCUGUUAACAACAACAAAAAAAAUGUUGACAGUUUGAAUCCACCAGCUGCUCCUUGGAAACCCUGUGGGGCAGUUCUAUUCUGUCCAAUAGGAUUGUUAUGAGAAGCCAUGGUAACACAGUGGUUAAGCACUUGGCUGCUAACAGAAAGGUUAAUGGUUCAAACCCACCAGCCACUCCAAGGGAGAAAGAUGUGGCAGUCUGCUUCCAUAAAGACUACAUUCUUGGAAACCCUAUGGGAUAGUUCCACUUUGUCCUAUAGAGUCACUAUGAGUUGGGUCAACUUGAUGGUAGUGGAGUGUCUUAGUUAUCUAGUGCUGCUUUAACAGAAAUACCACAAGUGGAUUGCUUUAACAAAGAGAAGUUUAUUUCUUCACAGUAAAGUAGGGUAAAAGUAUAAAUUCAGGGUGUCAGCUCCAGGGUAAGGCUUUCUGUCUCUGUCAGCCUUCUCAUCAAUCUUCCCCCAGACUAGGAGCUUCUCUGCGCAGGGACCCUGGGUCCAAAGCACUUGCUAUGUUCCCAGCACUGCUUUCUUGGUGGUGUGAGGUCCCUUCUCUCUGCUUGCUUUCUUUACCUUUUUAUCUCUUGAGAGAUAAAAGGUGGUGCAGGCCACAUCCUAAGGAAACUCCCUUUAUAUCAGAUCAGGAUGUGACUUGGGUAAGAGUGUUACAAUCCCACCCUAAUCCUGUUUAACAUAAAAUUACAACCACAAAAUGGAGGACAGCCACACAAUACUGGGAAUCAUGGCCUAACCAAGUUGACAUGUAUUUUUGGGAGCCACAAUUCAAUCCAUGACAUGGGGUUUUAUAUAAAUAUUUAUGUAUACAUUUUCCUAGUUUUGCUCCUCUGGAGAACCCAGCCUAAAACAUUUGGUACUGAGAAGUGGGGAUGCUGCUCUAACAAAUACCUACAAUGUGGAAGUGGUUUUGAAAUUGGGUAAUGGGUGGAAGCUGGGAGAGUUUUAAGGUGCCUAAUAGUAAAAGCCUAGACUGCCUUGAAGAAACUGUUGGUAGAAUUAUAAGACAUCAAAGACAAUUCUGGUGACGGCUCAGAAGAAAGUGAGAAGAGCUACAGAGAAAAUCUCUAUUGUGUUAGAGAAUUCAUAUGGUGCCAGCAACAGAAUGUUGCUAGAAAUGUGGAUAUUAAAUGUGUUACUGGUGAGGCUUUAAAAGAAAAUGAUGAAUGUGUGAUUGGACAGUGGGAGAAGGCCAGUGCUUUUUAGGCAGUGGCAAAGAACAUGUCUGAAUUAUGUUCAAAUGUUUAUUAAAAGGUAGAACUUGUAAGUGAUGACCUUGGAUAUCUGGCUGAGGGGAUUUGUAAGCAAGAUCUUAAGGGGGCUUCAUGGUUUCUCCUUGAUGCUUACAGAAAAAUGUGAGAAGCAGGAGAUGGACUUAAAAAUGAACUGUGCAAAAUGAAAAUAAAACUUAAAGAUUUGGAAAAUCCUGUUGUACACACUAAGAACACAUGUCUUAGAAUGUUCACCAAGGAUGUGGCUACAUGAUCUUUUGUUAAAGAGAUUAAGCCUGUGACUGAUGGAUUUAACCAACUACCACAGCAGAAAACUCAUCAGCUUAUAUUGAUGGGGACAAAGUAUGAAAGGAAAGAACACUGUCUGCCUCUUGAAAUUCUACAGGCAAAAAACAGGCCAAAGGAGAGACAUCUGUUGUCCUCCAAAAAAAGAAAAGACCCUCCUUGGAGCAGCUCAGAGAUCAGCAGAACUAUUGGAAGGAGCAUAGAAAGCAGGGCUGCCUUGGUUUCAAAGGGUGGAGUCAUGAUCUCCUAGGUUUCAAAGAGCUGCAUCUUCGCCAACUCUGUUCCAGAGUAUGGGGCUCCCAUUCAUGAUGGCCAGGGGGAUGGAGCCAUUGCCUAAAACUUAGGGGGCAGGGCUGCCAUGCCCAAGGGGUGGAAGAAUGGGGCCUGUUGGGACCAAGGGGGUGGGGUUGCCAUUCAGAUCAUCUAGGAGAAUAGGGCCACCCGAAGCUGAGGGAGCAGAGUCACCAUCCCAGUGGGCCUGGGCUUCAGCUCUGCCUUCCAGUUCUUCUGGGCCUUGGACUUGCUGGGUGCCCGCUAUCCUUUCUUUCCCUUCAAUUUCUCCCAUUUGUAAUAGAAAUGUCUACCCUGUGCCUGUUUCACCACCAUAUUUUGGAAGCAGGCAACCUGUAUUCUAGAUUUCACAGGUUCUUUUCAGAGGAAGAGGGUUUUUUUCCCAGGAUGGAAUAUGCUUUACCUAUAUUUGAUUUAGAUGACUCAGAGGUCAAGAUUUUGAAUUCGUAAUUGUUUAGGACUUCCAGUAUGAGGUGAUGGGGUAAAUGUGUUUUCCAUGUUGCAAGGGCAUGAAUUUUGCGGGGCCAAAGAGUGGAAUGUUAUGGAUUGAUGGGUCUCUCAAAAAUAUGUGUUGUAUAUCCUAAUAUCUAUGCCUGUGGUUAUAAACCCGUUUAGGCAUGGGUUGUCUUUGUUAUGUUAACGAGGCAGAAUUAGUGUAGGGUGUGUCUUGAGUCAAUCUAUUUUGAAAUAUAAAAAAGGUGAAACAACCAGUGAAAGAAGCAGAGAUGGGGAAGAGAGAUGCCAAGCCACAUGAAGAUUGCCCAGAGCAGAAACUCAAAAGAGACAAGGACCUUCCUCCAGAGCUGACAGAGAGAGAGGAAGCCUUCCCCUAGAGCCAGCACCCUGGAUUUGGACUUCUAGCCUCCUAAACUGAUGGGCUUGGGAAUCAGGAGAAGAAUCAAAUACUGUGCUAUGAUCCCUAUAUUUAGAGGCUUACUGCCCCAUUUUGUAUGGUAUUUUCAAUCACUUCAUAUGCAUGCAAAAGCUGGACAAUGAAUAAGGAAGACCAAAGAAGAAUUGAUGGAUCUGAAUUAUGGUCUUUGUGAAGAAUAUUGACUAUACCAUGAACUGCCAGAAGAACAAACAAAUCUAUCUUGAAAGAAGUACAGCCAGAAUGCUCCUUAGAAGGAAGGAUGGCGAGACUGCGUCUCGUGUACUUUGGACAUGUUAUCAGUUGGGACCAGUCCCUGGAGAAGGACAUUAUGCUUGGUAAAGUCGGCCCUCAAUGAGAUGAAUUGACACAGUGGCUGCGAUAAUGGACUCAAACACAGCAAUGAUUGUGAGGAUGGCACAGGACCAGAACACAUCCAGAAAUGAUACAGGAAGUGAGAAGAGAAAGAUCAUCAGGGAUUAAAGGUGUGGAAUCAGAAUGGAGAUGCGUUCUGAGCAAGACCUUAAAAGAUAACAUGUGUCCACGGCUGAGUGACACUUUUGAUGCCAUGGGGUAAAAGCAACUGAACAUGUUGGUGACCCACGGAAAAUGGUGCUGGGUUAUAGUGUAUAUUAUUAUUUUACGAAGAACUGGAAGAAAAGCCUGGAGAUCUAUUAAAAACCAGCCAGUGAAAACCUUAUGUAUCACAACAGUCCAGUCUCCAACUGAUCAUGGGGAUGGCCCAGGACUGGGUAGCAUUUACUUCCAUUCUGCAUGGAAUUCCUGCGAAUUGCCGUUGACUUUGAUGGCAGCUAACAACAACAUGAAGAAACCGGUUUUUAAAGUCUGGCUUUUGACAACGAUGCUAUCUAUAUUCUUGGGCACUUACAUCACUUGUAAAUAAUACACACAAAAUGGGUGUGAUGUCAUUCUACCAGUGCUGAAGUUCUGGCGUACUAACACAAUAUCAGUGAGUAACAUAUCCAUAAGAGGAUCCCUGGGGGUGCGGUGGUUAAAGUGCUCAGCUGCUAACGGAAAUUUCGGUGGUUCAAACCCACCAGCCACUCCAUGGGAGAAAGAUAUGAGUCUGCUUCCGUAAAGAUUACAGCCUUAGAAACCCUAUGGGGCAGUUCUACUCUGUCCUACAGGGUUGCUAUGAGUCAGAAUCAACUUGAGGGCAAUGGGUUUGUUUUUUCUUAGCAUAUCCAUGUGUAGAGAAUGUGUAAGGGCACCCAGACAGCUUGUGUAGAGAGCUGCGUAGGAUAAGCGAAAAGAGAGAGGAGUAAUUUUAGUUCUGUUUCCCAUGUUACUGUUAUCAUUUUAUACUAUCUAAAUUCUAAUCUGGGUUUAUUUUCUGAUAAGCUUCUUUCACCUAAUUUUCUUACUUCUUUUUCUUUUUCCUGUUCUUAUAAAAGAUGUGACAAAAAGAGUACUAUUUUUGUAUCUCUGUUACUUAAUAAUGAUUGGACUACCAAUUCAGGUCAUUCAGUACCUUACGUCAACAUUUCACUUACCCAGAAGACCAGAGAGGCAGCACUGAGGCUUGAGCCCUAUCCUGGAGAGUCUGAUUCAGUCGGACAGAAGUAGUUCUGAGAAAUUCAUUUUUUAACAAGUUCCUCAGGUGGUUCUGAUACCCAACCAGGGUUUUGAAUCUUAAAGUCAGUCACUCUCUUUCAAUACUUCCAUCACCACUCCGUCCAUGCCUCAUGCAGGAAGCACAGUAAUCUUUCCUUUAAGAUUAAUCUCGAUGAUGACUUAAUGUAUUACCUCCUCCACUUGACGUUUGGAUUUUAAAGUAGACUCUAAUGUGUUAAAAUAUUUCUGUUUCUAUUUUUUUAAAUGAAAAUAAAGAAGUAAAAUUUUAUCUACUUUCUAAAAUGUGUGAGGGCUAACCAUAGAAUAAAUAAAACUAAAAGAAAUAAAAUAUUCAUUAUACCUUCAACCUAUUCUUUAUUUUCAAGAACUGGUGACCUUUCGGCAGGCAGAUAUAGUCUAGUGGAGAAAGUACUCAACUAGGCCCUCAGCAUUCCAAGUUUAAUUUCCCAUCUGUUUUCUUUUGAGAUCCCACCAUUCUUAGGAUCGUCUAAGAACGUAAAGAGGUGGUUUACUCAGUUGAAAAUGUUCAGUCCACUUCCCAAGACCAACGAGAAAAAAGAGUGGAGAGUCUAAUCCAUUCACUACUUGUGUGCUCCUGAUGCCACACAAGAUCUGAUGGACUCUUGCAGUCGUGCCCUUGAUGGCUAGCUUCUUGGCUAGGCCAGAACUCUGCACUUAGGGGUUCUAGUUACAGCCUCCUUUAUUUCACAUUCUCGUGCUUCCCAAAACAACACUUGUCCCCAGGGCUUCUAGACUAAUCAUUUUUUAUGUGUGGCAAAACUAGUCUUCUCUCAAGAAUUUGUAGACACCCACAAUAAGCCUAUCACCCUAGCUCAGACUCCUCCUUUCCACAUGGUGAAUAGGUGUCCUCUCUGUCUGGCAGAGUACUCAAAUUUUAACUUGCAUUGAAAUCACCUGGAGGACUUGUUAAAACUUAGGUUGCUGUGCCUCACAUCCAGAGUUUCCUACUCAGUAGGUUUGGAGUGAAACUCAAGAAUUUGUUUUUCUAAAAAGUUCCCAGAUGAGGCUGUAGCUGUUGGUCUGGUGACCACAUUUUGUGAACCACUGUUGUUGUUGUUGCUAUUGUUAAGUGCUGUCAAGCCAGUUCUGACUCAUAACGACCCUCUGUACAGCAGAAUGAAACACUGCCCGGUCCUGCACAUCCUCACAAUUGUUGCUAUGUUUGAGCCCACUGUUGCAGUCAUUGUGUCAGUCCAUCUUGUUGAGGGUCUUCCUCUCUUUCACCGACCCUCUUCUUUAUCAAGCAUGAUGACCAUCUCCAGAGACUGAUCCUUCCUGAUAACAUGUUCAAAAUAUGUGAGACAUAGUCUUGCCGUCCUUGCUUCUAAGGAGAAUUUUGGUUGCACUUUUUCCAAGACAGAUUUGUUUGCUCUUUUGGCAGUCCAUGGUAUAUUCGAUAUUCUUCGCCAACACCACAAUUCACAGAUGUUAUUUCUUCUUCAGUCUUCCUUAUUCAUUGUCCAGCUUUUGCAUGCAUAUGAGGUGACAUCUUUGUUUUUUAAUACUUUAAAGAGGUCUUUUGCAGCAGAUUUGCCCAAUGCAAUGGGUCAUUUGAUUUAUGAACCACUAGGCUGGCAAAUCUUUAUUUCACUGGAGAAAUCUUGAGGAUUGGAAUUGGGAACUUGAUUAUUUCUAGGGAUACUUAAUGCUACAACACCCAAAGUCAAAAAGGUUUAGCUAUCCAGUAUCCAUGACAGUGGAUUCCUACUCACUGUACAUUUGAUCAUUAAAAGCCACCUUUGAAUAAUUGCUUCCUGAAUAACAAGGCCUGACUUGUUUUCAUACGCAUAGGGAGAAUCUGGAAGUGGAUUUUCCUGUGUCUUUUUUGUUUUUAUUUUGAAUUGUUCUUUAAAGGUAUACAUUACUAGGAGCUGGUUUAUUCUAAAAUUCAGAAUGACAGAAUCAGAAUACAAAAAAGGAAAAAUAAAUCUUGAUAAUCUGACAGUACAAUUCAGUGUAAUCCAACAAAUUGAACUGAGUUGUUAGUAGAUAAUAAUGACUUAAUUGAUGUAUUACCUCUUCCACUUCAUGUUUGCAUUUUGAAAUAGACUAAUGUGUUAAAGAAGGAGCCCUGGUGGCACAGUGGCCAUGUACUUGGCUAUACUGAAAGGCCAAGAUUUGAACCCACCAGCCACUCUGUGGGAGAAAGAUGUGAUAGUCUGCUUCUGUAAAGAUUUACAGCCUUGGAAACCUUAUGGGGAAGUUUUACUGUCUAUAUGGGGCCCUGGUGGCACAGUGGUUAAGAACUUGGCUGCUAACCAAAAGGUCGGCAGUUUGAGUCCACCAGCCACUCCUUGGAAACCCUGUGGGGCAGUUCUACUCUGUCCCAUAUGGUCGCUAUGAGUCAGAAUCGACUCAGUGGCAAGGGGUUUAUAGGGUCACUAUUUUUUUAUGAGUCAGAAUUGAGUCGACGGCAAUGGAUUUGGUGGUUUCAAUGUGUUAAAGUAGAGCAUUAGUUCUCAAACAUUACAGUAUAUAUGAAUUACAAGAUAUUUUUGCUAAAAAUACAGAGUCCUGAGCUCCAUUCAUAAAGAUUUUCAUUCAGUAGAUUGGGUGACCUCAGGAGUCUUUAUUUUUAGUAAGAACACUUGGUAAUUCUAAUGCUGAAAACCACUAUAUGAGGAAGAUUGAAUUAGAAGAAUGAGUAAUAUGGUAAUUUUGAAGAUCUGCAUCUGGACAGUGGGGAGAGAUUUGAGAAGUAGGGUGUGUAUGAUUACUUUGCAAGACUCUGGCUUAUCUUGUAUAUAAACUAUGAUAAACUAACAAAUAUGAACACAGUACUUCCCAAACUGAGUCAAACUGAGUGUUCAUAAGUUUCUGAAUGGUUUCCUGCUCCUCUGCUUAUUUUGAAGGUGCUCAAUGUCUCUCCAAAACCUCAACUCUGAAUUGAGAAGAAAAAAGAAACAUGUUGCUUAAAGGGAAAUGAAAAAGAAAACAAAGAAUGAGUUAGUGGUUUAGAGUAGUACAAGGGUACAGUAUGGAACAGUAGGAAGAAUACAGAUUGGGAGUCUAGAGAAUUGGGGGUCUGAAAACUUGGAUUGUGCCUUGAUACUGCCUCUGGCUCUCUAUAGGACUGAGGUUUAACUAAGAACUCACUUUAAGAACUAAGGUUCCCAUUGGUGUAAAGUUGACAGUAGAUUAGGUGAUCUUUAAAGUUCUAUUAAAAAAAAUCAAACCAAACCCAUUGCCACUGAGUUGAUUCUGACUCACACUGACCCUAUAGGACAGAGUAGAACUGCCCCAUAGAGUUUCCAAGGAAUGCCUGGUAGAUUCGAACUGAUGACCUUUUGGUUAGCAACCAUAACUCUUAACCACUAAGCCUCCAGGGUUUCCGUAUAAUUUAUCCAACAAGUGGUUAUGGAAAUCCUGAGGAGUUGUGAUGGAGACAACCUAAUACUUUUAAUCUUUCACAAAUCAGUGAAUGAUCAACGAUAAAUAGUAAUAAUUAUAAUAGUAAAUCUUGAUAUCCUCAAAGGACACCCAGUAAAUAACAUUCCUCUUCCCCCUCAGGCUUCUAAACCUGUUAAGAAGUAAGGUAACUGAAUGAAAUAGAGAGAUAAAUAACAUCUUGAAUAUGAAUAGAGUCCAGGUUGGAGGAUGUGACUUGAAAUUAUACCCACUAAUCAUGACAAUGUUAAACUAGGACAGGCCUCCCCACAUGAAAGGACUUCCCAGGUAAGAUUUAGGGCGUGGAAGAGCCAAAUAUAUCUCUGUUCUCCGUGAUUUCUGUGGACAUGCUUGCUCCUUGGAGCUGAAUGUGGAAGUUGUUCUUUCCAAAUUUACUAAUCAGAUAAGUUUUUUCCUAGAAGAAGAGUGAAUAGAACAUCUAGAGAGCCCAUUGCAGAUCUCUGGACCUGGAAGGAGCCCUCAGUAGUGGGGAAGAUAUGCUUUAUCUCCUACAUCUCUCCCCACCCCAUGAAGCCCAUGAGGUCUGUAAAGGUGAAUUGCUUAGCAGGGUCCCACAAAGGAAGGGGCAGAACUGAGACUGGAGGUCCUUUCUGAGUGACUCCCGGAACAGCACUCUUCUGCCAAGCCUUGAUGGUAGAAAUGGAACCUGGGUGUUUGUGCAGAUAUCCUGGGUUUGGCAUAUCGCUGCUCUCAAAGAACUGUAGUGGUCUUUGGUUUUUCACAAACACGAGACUGUUAUAUUACUUUAUUAAAAAUUAGAAUUACCAGGCUAAAAAACACAGAAGCACUUGUUUCUCAGCAUUCUGGCUUAUUCUUCUUUCUAGUUAAAAUAUAUUUAGAGUUUUUGGACAACUACUUCCCUUUAGAAUUUGGAACUUUAGAAUCUGAAAGUUAGAUGGAAAAUGAAGCUUAUGAAAGUAAGAAUAUUCACAACUCAAAAAAAAAAAAACAAGUAACAGCAGAUGUCUCUGCUUGCAAUAACAGAUUUAUCCUAAAUCUGGAUACAAUGAACUCCUUCUAUUUCCUUAGAUAAGAAGAUCUUUGCCCAGAUUUGAUGGAAUAUUUUUGCCCUGUGAGUUAACAAAUUAAUUUCAGCUUAUAUUUUAAUUAUGUAAAAUGAUGGUGAUUGAAUCCUUCAGCACAUUUUCUUUAGGUGUUAGUUCUAUACAAUGUUUUCCAGUGUCUGACAUAAGCCUGCCAUUCAUUUCAUUUGGUUAUUCUCUCAUUAAUCCCAGCUGGAUCUCAAAAAUAAAGUACAAUUCUUUUAUAGUUAGAUCACCAAACAUUUAGAGAAUUUCAGGUUUUAGGACAUGCAGAGAUUAUUAUAGAAAGCAUUACUGUUAGGUUAAUUAGCUUAGAGAUUUUUUUUGUGUGUGUGCGUGUGCUUCAAAUGAAAGUUUACAAUUCAAGUCAGUUUCCCCUACAAAAACUUACAUACAUAUUGUUUUGUGACCCUAGUUGCUCUUCCUACAAUGUGACAGCACACUCCUUCUCUUCACCCUGUAUUUCCCGUGUCCAUACAACCAUCUCCUGUCCCCCUCUGCCUUCUCAUCUUGCCACCAGACAGGAGCUGCCCACAUAGUCUCAUGUGUCUGCUUGAGCUAAGAAGCACACUCCUCACCAGUAUCAUUUUCUGUCUUAUAGUCCCGUCUAAUCUUUGUCUGAAGAGCUGGCUUUGAGAAUGGUUUUAGUUUUGGGUUAACAGAGAGCCUGGGGGCCAUGACCUCUGGGGUCCCUCCUAGCUUACUGAUCUUACGGUAAAUUCUAACAGGAGAUUUUCCUUUUAUCUAUAACUCUACAUGAUGCUAGACAAUAUAUGAUGCUAGAGAAUUUUUACAUGCACAAAAGCCUGUAAAGAGUGGGGUAAAUGAGGAAAGUAUAUUAUUACAUAGAAAACACCAGAUUUUGACAAAGCCCUGGUGAUGCAGUAGUUGAGAAUUCAGCUGCUAACCAAAUGGUCGGCAGUUUGAAUCUGCCAGCUGCUCCUUGGAAACCCUAUGGGGCAGUUGUACUCUGUCCUGUAGGGUUGCUGUGAGUCAGAAUUGACUCAAUGGCAACAGGUUUGGUUUUUUAAUUGGUAGACACCUUGUAUGUUCUCAAUAAAUGAACUUUGGGUAUACUUUUCCAGAGAAAUGUUGGAGAAUAAAUGACAUUAUCCUUUAUGUUAUGUUUGCUAUGCUAAUUUGAUUCCACAUGUAAUCACACAGUUUAAAAGGGUGGUAUUUUAUAUAAGGUUCUCAGCAAGUACUGAAUUAUUGUUUGUACUA